AUAAUACUCCCUCCGUCCGGAAAUACUUGUCGGAGAAAUGCAUAAAAAUGGAUGUAUCUAGAAUUAAAAUACGUCUAGAUACAUCCAUUCCUUCGACAAGUAUUUCCGGACGGAGGGAGUACAUC
rnacentral:pre_miRNA from 1 species